GAUGAACGCUGGCGGCGUGCCUAAUACAUGCAAGUCGAGCGAACGGACGAGAAGCUUGCCUCUCUGAUGUUAGCGGCGGACGGGUGAGUAACACGUGGAUAACCUACCUAUAAGACUGGGAUAACUUCGGGAAACCGGAGCUAAUACCGGAUGAUAUUUUGUACCGCAUGGUUCAAAAGUGAAAGACGGUCUUGCUGUCACUUAUAGAUGGAUCCGCGCUGCAUUAGCUAGUUGGUAAGGUAACGGCUUACCAAGGCAACGAUGCAUAGCCGACCUGAGAGGGUGAUCGGCCACACUGGAACUGAGACACGGUCCAGACUCCUACGGGAGGCAGCAGUAGGGAAUCUUCCGCAAUGGGCGAAAGCCUGACGGAGCAACGCCGCGUGAGUGAUGAAGGUCUUCGGAUCGUAAAACUCUGUUAUUAGGGAAGAACAUAUGUGUAAGUAACUGUGCACAUCUUGACGGUACCUAAUCAGAAAGCCACGGCUAACUACGUG
rnacentral:rRNA from 1 species